rnacentral:rRNA from 1 species
GUCUACGGCCAUACUACCCUGAAUGCGCCCGAUCUUGUCUGAUCUCAGAAGCUAAGCUGGGUUGGGCCUGGUUAGUACUUGGAUGGGAGACCACCUGGAAAUAUGGGGUGCUGUAGGCU